rnacentral:rRNA from 1 species
UACAGAGGUCUCAAGCGUUGUUCGGAUUCAUUGGGCGUAAAGGGUGCGUAGGCGGCGCGGUAAGUCGGGUGCGAAAUCUCGGAGCUUAACUCCGAAACUGCAUUCGAUACUGCCGUGCUUGAGGACUGGAGAGGAGACUGGAAUUUACGGUGUAGCGGUGAAAUGCGUAGAUAUCGUAAGGAAGACCAGUGGCGAAGGCGGGGCUCUGGACAGUUCCUGACGCUGAGGCACGAAGGUCAGGGGAGCAAACGGG